AUGUCUUGCUGCGGCAGCGCCGAGGAGGACACCUACGGCCCGCCGGCGAACCAAGCCGCUCCGCCGCCCAACGUCAACGCUCCCGGCAACAGAGGCGGGCCGAGGGGGCCCGGCGCCACGAGGCCCGGAGGGCCGCCCAAGGUGGUCACCAUCGACGUGCCGGCGAUCCCGCUAGACGAGCUCAACAAGAUGACCAACAAUUUCAACGACAAGGCCCUCAUCGGCGAGGGCUCCUACGGCCGCGUCUACAAUGGUACCCUUAGCGAUGGCCGCCCCGCCGUCAUCAAGAAGCUCGAUCCCAGCGCCUCAACGGAGUCGGACUCAGAAUUCUCUGCUCAGCUAGCAAUGGUCUCCAAGCUUAAGAACGAGUACUUCGUGGAACUCCUGGGCUAUUGCAUGGAGGAUGGGAACCGCAUGCUGGCCUAUCAAUUUGCAACCAUGGGCUCUUUGCAUAAUAUCUUGCACGGCAAGAAAGGAGUGCAGGGCGCUGAACCCGGGCCGGUGCUCAACUGGGCUCAGCGCGUGAAGAUAGCUUACGGAGCGGCAAGGGGGCUAGAGUACCUACAUGAAAAAGUCCAACCAUCGAUUGUUCAUCGAGAUAUUCGGUCGAGUAACGUCCUAAUAUUCGACGAAUUCAGCUCCAAGAUUGCGGACUUCAACCUGACAAACCAGGGCACGGACACCGCUGCCCGGUUACAUUCCACUCGUGUGCUAGGAACAUUUGGAUACCACGCACCAGAAUAUGCUAUGACAGGGCAAAUCAACCAAAAGAGUGACGUCUAUAGCUUCGGCGUGAUCCUACUAGAACUACUGACGGGAAGAAAACCGGUCGAUCACACCAUGCCGAAAGGGCAGCAAAGUCUUGUUACUUGGGCCGCUCCAAGGUUGAGCGAAGAUAAAGUAAAGCAAUGCGUUGAUCCAAAGCUCAACAGUGACUACCCUCCAAAAGCCGUCGCCAAGCUAGCAGCAGUGGCAGCGCUGUGCGUGCAGUACGAAUCCGACUUCAGACCGAACAUGACGAUCGUUGUGAAGGCGAUUCAGCCCCUUCUCAACCAAAAACCGGCUGGACCAGCCGCCGAAGCACCGAGACCCUGA
rnacentral:rRNA from 1 species